rnacentral:rRNA from 1 species
GACGAAGGUGGCGAGCGUUACUCGGAAUUAUGACGUAGGCGUAAAGCGUGGGCAGGUGGUUCGGUAAGUCAUUGGUUGUGAAAGCCUCCCGGCUCAACUGGGAGAGGCCAAUGGAAACUGCCGGACUUGAAUCGAGGAGAGGUCACUGGAAUUCCUGGUGUAGCGGUGAAAUGCGUAGAGAUCAGGAGGAACACCAAUGGCGAAAGCAGGUGGACUGGACUCGUAUUGACACUCAUCCACGAAAAGCUAGGGGGAGCAAACAGG